AUUGAACGCUGGCGGCAGGCCUAACACAUGCAAGUCGAACGAGUGGCGGACGGGUGAGUAAUGUCUGGGAAACUGCCUGAUGGUGGGGGAUAACUUCUGGAAACGGUAGCUAAUACCGCAUACCAUCGGAUGUGCCCAGAUGGGAUUAGCUAGUAGGUGGGGUAAAGGCUCACCUAGGCGACGAUCCCUAGCUGGUCUGAGAGGAUGACCAGCAAAACGGGAACAGAAACACGGUACAGAGUAAUACGGGAGGCAGCAGUGGGGAAAAUUGGACAAUGGGGGAAAGCCGAAAGCAGACAUGCGGCGUGUAUGAAGAAGGCGAACGGGUUGAAAAGUACUUUCAGCGGGGAGGCGUUACCCGCAGAGGAAGCACCGGCUAAGUCCGUGCCAGCAGCCGCGGUAAUAC
rnacentral:rRNA from 1 species